UACGUGGGGUGCAAGCGUUGCUCGGAAUUAUUGGGCGUAAAGGGUAGGUAGGUGGUCUCGUUUGUCUGGGGUGAAAGCCUUGAGCUUAACUCAAGAAGUGCCCCAGAAACGGCGAGACUAGAGUUCUGGAGAGGGUCGUGGAAUUCCCGGUGUAGCGGUGAAAUGCGUAGAGAUCGGGAGGAACACCAGAGGCGAAGGCGGCGACCUGGACAGAUACUGACACUCAACUACGAAAGCGUGGGGAGCAAACAGG
rnacentral:rRNA from 1 species